rnacentral:rRNA from 1 species
GGCAGCAGCUAAGAAUAUUCCGCAAUGGACGAAAGUCUGACGGAGCGACGCCGCGUGGAUGAUGAAGGCCGGAAGGUUGUAAAAUCCUUUUAUGACUGAGGAAUAAGUGAAGUGAGAGAAACGUUUCAUGGUGACUGUAGGCCAUGAAUAAGCAACGGCUAAUUACGUGCCAGCAGCCGCGGUAACACGUAAGUUGCGAGCGUUGUUCGGAAUUAUUGGGCGUAAAGGGUAUGUAGGCGGUUCUGCAAGUCUGGUGUGAAAUACCGGGGCUCAACCCCGGAACUGCGUUGGAAACUGCAGGACUUGAAUCGCUGAGGGGCAGCCAGAAUUCCAGGUGUAGGGGUGAAAUCUGUAGAUAUCUGGAAGAAUACCAAUGGCGAAGGCAGGCUGCCAGCAGAUGAUUGACGCUGAGGUACGAAGGUGCGGGGAGCAAACAGGAUUAGAUACCCUGGUAGUCCGCACAGUCAACUAUGUACACUGGGUGUCCGGUCAUGAGACUGGGUGCCGAAGCAAACGCGAUAAGUGUACCGCCUGGGGAGUAUGCCCGCAAGGGUGAAACUCAAGGAAUUGACGG